UUAUUUUCAGAGUAUGCCAACCCAUCUAAAUGCUAUCUGUUCUAGGGAGGUGCAUUUGGUGCUUAUUAUAGGUGGGGCUGCUUGGCCUACCUGUUAUUAAAGUUGCUUAAUACUUCCUACUGUGAAGACCUGUUUUCAGUUGCUUGUGCCUCUGAAUUUGAGCCAUGCGGGCAAAAUCGUUGUAUGCCAAGUGUUUACACUGUUAGGGGGGUAAAAACAGCUGAAAAUUUAAAUGUAAUUUGCUGACAUCAUGCUUCAGAAAUGCUCUGGAAUAAAUCUCACAGGAUGAGGACAAGUUAAGAAUUUAUCUUCACAUCUGGACAGGCUCCCAGGUCCCUUGCUACCCUGUUUUUUGUUUUUUUUUUAAUGUGACAUUGUGUAAGCCUCGUUUGGCUUGUACUUUCGGUAUUGUAGGGUGAGCGUUUGCGCUCAUGGCUGGCAGCAGCAACAACAAAUCCCUUUGGUUCCAGCACAAGCAGCCACAGUCCAUGCAGCGCUGCCCUUCCUUGCCCGUGCCCUGCCUGGUGACCUCGCGCUCUCGAGGAAUGUCCGCGCUGGCCGGGAUCUGAGCCCGUCCUCUCCAGCUGCUGCUGGCCCUGCCAAGUCGGGACGCGUGGUAGGGCAUGGAUUGCCCUCGCUGCAGCUCAGCGGGUUUAAGGCUUCAGUGACCGAGUUUGAAGAUCACAUUGCUGAAAUUUUGCUUUCGUUCUGAGAGUUUUAGAAAGGGCGUGAAUUGACCGGGCUGCCUGGCUGGCUGGGUCAGUGAGAGGGAUGGGCUAAGCUCGGCGGUGGUAGGGCUGGGUUUGGUGCCUGGGCACGGUGAGGGGACUGCUGUGGCUGCCCUGCUGUGAGGGGCCGGGUGCUGCUGGCUUCCACACUGUGCCAUGAAACCGGGCAUGGGCCCUUCUGCGUAGCUCCGGGCCUUCGUGCCCUCGAGCUGUGCGCACACCGCUUUAUCUCCGGGACCUGGCGCCUUGGGGCCCCCGCGGCUCCCCCUCAGCCCCUCAGCGCCGGGGCCGCCCCCGCCGCCACCUGCCGGGCCCCGCCCGCCCCGCGCCUGCGCGCAGCCCCGCCCCCGGCCGCGGGCGGCCCGGCCCGGCCCGGCUCAGCCGCGCCGCGAUGCGAGGAGGCGGCGGCGGCACCGCCACGGGACCCGCGCCGGGACCCGCGCCCGGGGCUGCUGCGACACCGGGCCCAGCACGACACCAGCCUCCCUGACCCGAGUCUC
rnacentral:lncRNA from 1 species